GACGUAGGAGGCGAGCGUUGUCCGGAUUCAUUGGGCGUAAAGAGCACGUAGGCGGUCUGUCACGUCGGAUGUGAAAACUCGGGGCUCAACCCCGAGCCUGCAUACGAUACGGGCAGACUUGAGUUCGGCAGGGGAGACUGGAAUUCCUGGUGUAGCGGUGAAAUGCGCAGAUAUCAGGAGGAACACCGGUGGCGAAGGCGGGUCUCUGGGCCGAUACUGACGCUGAGGAGCGAAAGCGUGGGGAGCGAACAGG
rnacentral:rRNA from 1 species